UACAGAGGGUGCAAGCGUUGUUCGGAAUUAUUGGGCGUAAAGCGCGUGUAGGCGGCUUUGCAAGUCGGGUGUGAAAGCCCUCGGCUCAACCGAGGAAGUGCGCCCGAAACUGCAGAGCUUGAGUACCGGAGAGGAUGGCGGAAUUCCCCAAGUAGAGGUGAAAUUCGUAGAUAUGGGGGGGAACACCGGUGGCGAAGGCGGCCAUCUGGACGGAUACUGACGCUGAGACGCGAAAGCGUGGGUAGCAAACAGG
rnacentral:rRNA from 1 species